AAAUGGAAAGUAAAUAGCAUGCUGUUAGCAUUAAAGAAAACCCAAUCGGGGCAGGAGGGAGGCACUCCGGCCUCCUCCCAGUUUGGGGUGCCUCACUCUCUCCCCUGCCCCUUCUCCCAGCUGGCCCUGAACCCCUCUCCCCUCCUGGCUCCUCUGCCCUCUCUCUCGGCCUCCCCGACAGCCUCUCCUUUCCUCCCUGCUGUCCCUCUUCCCCCCAGCUUCCAGAUCUCUGCUGGUCCCCAAGGACACUUUGACCUCUGCUCCCCCCCAAAUGCUGUGGAACAAGCCUCCCUCGCCCCACCAUCCCACCACAGGGGCUGCUGAUCCAGAGGCCCCCCAGAGCCAGGGAUCAGCACUUGGACAGAAAAGACGGUCCCCCACAGAGCACUUUGGAGCACUCCCUCAAAUCCUCAGCCUCCCCCAGCUGGGCCCUGGCUCCUGGCCAGAGUGCCUUCCGGCUCCGUGCCUCAGUUUCCUCAUCUGUGAAGCAGAGUGGUCAACAGCUUCCUCCCCGGGCUCAGCUCCACAUCACACACAGGGCCCCUCGGCAGGCAGACGGGCUGCAGGAACAGUGGCCGUCAGCGGGGAGCCUAGGGAGCUUGGGGGACUGGUGGUCCCGUAGCCCCCAGGUUGCUCUCCCCCAACCCGGUGCCCCCCAUUCUCCCAUUCUCCACCCCCACGGCGGGGUUGGGGGGUGGCUCCUGCCUCUGCGGGCCACGAUCCUACAAGUUAAUGAUCACAGCUUUUAUCAGAGCCUUUUGCUGUUUAUAAAUUUAUAAAACAAAAGAGAAAUAAUAAAGCGCGUGGGUAAUUAGUAACCAGGGCAGCUCGGCUGGGGAGAGGGGAGGCAUCGCCAGGGACCCACCCAGUUCUCCAGGAGUGGGGAGAAGGCCAGCGGAUGGGGGUACAGGACAGUACUGGGGGGCUUCGACAUGCAGCCUGCUGGGGACCCGUGGCGGUGCAGGAGAGGUAAGAGUUCCCACCCCGAAGUCCCCUCUGCCUCAGCUAAGAAAGACCUGGACUUUCCCCGUGGGGGGGGCCAGGGAAGCCCCCCAAAACCCCAGUCUCAGCUCUGCCUCCCAGAGGUGCUUUCUGCCCCCGGGGCCGACCAUCUGAGCACUUCGUGGGGAGCCAGGGACUAGGGGUACGAAGGGCCACAUGGCUAAGGAUUUCCCACCCCCUCUGUUCUCCAGGUGUCUGGGGUCCCUGUCCCAGAGCUUCCCCAGGGCUUGUCCCCACUUCCCGAGGACACGGCCAAAGACCGUGGCUCUUGGUGUCUGGAGGCUCCAACCUCUGAACAGGGACCCCCGAGCGCUGGCCUGGGCCCUGUCCCCUUCCCCGACAGCUAAGCUGAAGGCCACGGCUCAGGAGGACUCUGGACUUGGCAGAGGGGCUGGUCAGAGCGGAGGGUGGCCCUGGGGGCUCCUUCCUGGCAGCUGGGGACGGGGAGGGGUCCUUACUGCAGAAGGGUCUCCACCACGGCCUUCUGGUGGGCCGCCUCCUCGGGGCUGAGGUUCUCCAGCUCUUUGAGGAUGGGCGGCGUGAAGUCGUCCCCGUCGUCGUCCGUGUCGUCCUCGGAGCCCCGCGUCUCCCCCAGCCCGUUGGGCAGCUCAGCCAGCUCCCCUCGACCGGCGCCGCAGGCCUCCCCCUUGUCCAGGGGACCCUCUCCGGGCAGCAGGUAGGGCCCCGGCUCCCCCAGGGCCUGGAUCAGCGCCUCCUUGCUCAGGCCCGACUCGAGCAGCGCGGCCAGGAGCUCGGUCUGCAGCUGGCUCAGCUUGGCCACCAUGGCUCCGCCGAGGGCCACGCGGCCGGGCCACCAGCUGCCACCUCCCCCGCCCGAGGGCCUCCACUGGCCUGCCGGCAGCCACGAGCCAGGCUCCUGCACCGCUGCCCCCCCAAACCCACGAGCCAAGCCCAGUGGGCACCCCCAGCCCCCAACCCUGGCCCCAGCGGCCGGUGAAUCAGGCCCCUGCCUGCUGUUUACAUUGGAGCUGGGGAAAUUCUCCAAGGUUCAUAUUUAUCCGUGUGCUUAGCGCGGGGACUGAACUUUGGACUUCAGCCCUGCAGAGUGCAGGCCUCAUGGCCGCAGAGGGCCCGAGCGUGGCCUUCGGUGGGAGUGGGCAGGGGAGGGUGGGGAGGCGGAGGGGGGACCAUGGCAGCUGGACAGAAGGUGCUAGGAGCCAGGGGGCAGCAUUGGGGCCCACCCCCAGGGCCUUGCAGGAAGUCAGGCUAAGGCAGAAGGACGCAGAAAGCCCAUUUCUUUAGGGGAAUAGAAGCCACAGGAAGUUUUACGCCACUGGGCCAGCUGUCAAGGACAGAGCUAGGUCCUGUUCAUUUGGGGACCCUCUCACACUACACCAGGCCUGUGCUCAGGGAUGGCGCUGGGUCUGUAAUGUGUGCCUUUACUUCACUGUGAGUGGGUGCAGGGAUUGUCUCCAUUUUAUAGAGGAGGAAAUCUAGGCUCUGAGAGGUGAAGCAACGUGGCCAAAGUCACACAGGAAGGGAUUAGACCUGUGGGAUGGGACUAGGUGGACAGGAGCCGGGCACUUGCCUCAGUACAAAUUUUCAGGGGGCACCCACAACCUUAGUAAUCAAGAUUUUAUGCAAUGGAUUUUAAAAAUUAAAAUCAAGGCAAACCCCUAAAAGCACGUGUCCAUACAAAAAUUCUCACGUUCGAGUCCUGGGGCUGGAGCUCAGUGGAGAGUGUCUGUCUGACAUGCAUGAGGCCCUGGCUCAGAUCCCCAGCACCACCAAAACCAAAACCAAAACAACCCAAAAAACGUCACGGAUAUUCCCAGCACCAUUAUUCAUAGUAGCCAAAAAGUGGGGAGAAAACAUAAAUAUCCAGCCGGGUGCAGUGGCGCACGCUUGCAAUCCCAGCAGCUCAGGAGGCUGAGGCAGGAGGAUCGCGAGUUCAAAGCCAGCCUCAGCAACUGAGAGGCACCAAGCAACUCAGGGAGACCCUGUCUCUAAAUAAAAUGCAAAACAGGGCUGGGGGUGGGGCUCAGUGUCUAGUGCCCCUGAGUUCAAUCCCCAGGACCCCCCCCAAAAAAAAAACAACAUAACUACCAUCAACAUAUGAAUUAACAAAGUGCAAGAUGUACAACAUACAAUAGUAUAUCAUUCUCUCAUGAUAAGGAAUGACGUUUUGACCCAUGACACUGCCUGUAUGGACCUUGCAGACAUGCUAAGUGAAGAAGCUGGUCACAGCAGGCCUCGUUCCAUUUCCACGAGAUUUGCAGAACAGGCAAACCCACGGAGAGAGAAGGUAGACCCGUGUGGUUCCCGCGGCUGGGGCUGGGGUCACCAGAACCUGCUUUGACCGCGGGAACCUCCCUGAGCCCCUGGAAACUCCGGAGUUUCACUGGGGUGGUGCUGAGGGGCUUCCUGCCAAGCUGGGUGGUGUCCAGAGGUACCUUUCAGGGUUCUGGGGAGCCAGGGGCGUGCUUGGCCAUGGAAGGAAGGAAAAGGAGCCAUGGCCCAGAAGCCCUGCCUGUGGGGCAGGAGAGCCCGAGGGCUGGUUACAAGAGACAGUCUGUGUGUCUCCCUGUCUCCUGCCCUGCGUCAGCUCGAUGCCCUUCCCUCCCCACCUGGUGUUCCUGGUCCCUUUCCCUGAAUCUCUUCCUUUUGCCCAACCUCCAACCUCCUCCAACACAGCAAGUGGCACAGCCCCAAGCCAUUACUAACAAUCUGAACCGCGGCUGAGCCUCUUGUUGAACUGCUAAUAAUAUGUUGGACAUACCAGGCUGAAAUUUUAAAUUUAAAAAAAUUGCCAGGCCCAGUGGCGUACGCCUGUAAUCUCGGGAGGCAGAGGUAGGAGGAUGACAAGUUCAAGGCCAACCAGGGGAACUUAGCAGAUCCUGUCUCAAAAUUUAAAAUAAAAAGGGUCAGAGAUGUAGCUCCAUGGUGGAGGGCCCCUGGGUUCAAUCCUCAAUGCCACAUCCAAAAAAAUUAGACUAAAAAGUUAAUUUUAAAUACAUUAAUUCUAAUAUUCGGAUAGAUUCUAAUAUUCUAAUAUAUUAAUCUUAAUAUUUAUAGGUCAUUUAAAUUCACUUAAAUUAACUUGAAUUUUAAAUAGUUUGAAUUGAAUAUAAUUUUGAUUAAUGAAAAUUAUACUUUCUAAUUUUUAAAAUUAAAAAAGUUACUUCACCUGUUUCUUUUACUUUUUUAAUGGUACUACUGGAAACUUUUAAAUUGAAUAUAUAUAGGUCUGGGGGUAUAGCUCAGUGGUGGAGUACUUGCCUAUUAUGUGCAAGGACCUGGUUCCGUUCUCAGCACUGCCAAACAAAUAAAUAAAUAACUUACAUAUGUAGCUCACAUUAUAUUUCCACUGGUGCUGCUCUAUAAUUUACUUAUGUAUUAUGUUGAUUUUGUCUCAUAAAUAGUCCUCUGCUAGAAUGUAAGUCCCAUGAGGGCAGGGCUUUUUGGUCUGUCUUGUUCAUGCUGUAUUCCCAAGGCCUAGUAUAUUGCCUUAUCCAUACAUAGUAGGUGCUCAAUAAAUACUGGUUAAAUAAAUGAAUGGCUAAAUUUCA